CCCCCGCCAUCCCCCCAUCAACCUUGGCGUCGGCUGGAGCGACAGAUGGCCGCUGGUUGCCGGGGAGGAACCGAGGCUUGAUAUGUGUAUGUGCUUGAGCCGCGCUUAUGGACGUGGCUGUACACGGAGAACUUUUGAACUGCCUUUGGAGUUAAAGGUGGAGGAGCCCUUGCCCCGCCUGCCUCGCACGAGCCCUCGACCAGCGCCCCAAGGAGGGAGGGAAGGGGCACCGAGGCCAGGGAAACCUUCCGCGGAUGGCAGUCCCUAAGUCUUCUUCGCCCUGGCACAUUCAGGGCCGUCCCCGUGGCAGGCGCAGCGUCAUUACCUUCUGGCAACACCCUAGUCUGUGUGUGUGUGAUCGAAGAUUUGCUGACGCUUUUUAGGAUAACCAUAAUGAUCGAGCUGUAUAUUAGAACGAGAGAGAAAGAAGACUUGUUCCAGGAACAGCUAUUGCAGAAGUGCCACGGGUGUUUCAGAGGACUUGGGCUCCUGAAAAGCAACAAAAAUAACGCAGAAUGACACGAUUCAGGCCCACAUUACACAAUUGUAGGCCAAUAAGCUGU